AUUGAACGCUGGCGGCAUGCCUUACACAUGCAAGUCGAACGGCAGCACGGGUGCUUGCACCUGGUGGCGAGUGGCGAACGGGUGAGUAAUACAUCGGAACGUACCUUAUCGUGGGGGAUAACGCAGCGAAAGUUGCGCUAACACCGCAUACGCCCUGAGGGGGAAAGCGGGGGACCGUAAGGCCUCGCGCGAUUAGAGCGGCCGAUGUCUGAUUAGCUUGUUGGUGAGGUAAAAGCUCACCAAGGCGAUGAUCAGUAGCUGGUCUGAGAGGACGAUCAGCCACACUGGGACUGAGACACGGCCCAGACUCCUACGGGAGGCAGCAGUGGGGAAUUUUGGACAAGGGGGGCAACCCUGAUCCAGCAAUGCCGCGUGAGUGAAGAAGGCCUUCGGGUUGUAAAGCUCUUUUGUCAGGGAAGAAACAGCAGCUCUAACACAGUCUGCGAAUGACGGUACCUGAAGAAUAAGCACCGGCUAACUACGUGCCAGCCGCCGCGGUAA
rnacentral:rRNA from 1 species